rnacentral:lncRNA from 1 species
UUAUUCGUAUUAUAUGAAAAAGAAGAUGUGGUAUGAUUGCCAAUGAGACAACUGUCCACAAGAAACCAAAAUGACAUAGAAAUUAACAACUAUAGGUCACCAUACGGCCUUCAUAAAUGAGCAAAGCCCAUACCCCAUAGUCAGCUAUAAAAGGCCCCGAAAUGACAAUGUAAAACAAAUCAAACGAGAAAACUAACAGCCUUAUUUAUAUAAAAAAA